GUCCUUUAAUUGUGAAAACACAAUACAUAUUUGUUCACCAGAACAUUUUGGGACUCUGUCCAUUUGGGACUUCUUGAAAUCCAUGUCUGUUGUCACUAAAAAAAGAGUUCGGCCUGAAGCACCUUCCAUGCAUACUUUAAAUUUCCCUUCUCCAGUUAACCCUUCACAGUUUCUCCAAGUAGCUGACUUGUAAUGACCAAAAAUCCCAGCCCAAAUCCCUGUCUUUAUAUGUGCCAGUAAUUCUCUCCCUUUUCAGGAGAUCAGCUACCUUUUGGAAUUGGAUCAACAGGGGACAUUACAGCUGUAUCUGCCCAAUAUUACUUACACUGUUAUUAAUAAAUUGAUCGUGAAAGGACCCCUAGUUUCUACGUAAACUAAUAUGCCUUUGCCAGGCAGGCAGCAAAAUAAAGUUUUUGAAUUCUCAGAAUUUCACAAUACACACAGAUUCAAUCGAUGCAGACUGCACCAUGUUUGGACUUGCUUUACCUAAGAGUGACUUCUUAGGAUUCUGGGAUUCACCUCAAUAGGAGGGCUAGUUUGGAUCUCUUUGUUAACACUAUUGCUUAGUUAUGCUUUAGACAAUUAAUAUGUAGUUAUCAAAGUCUAUGGGAAUUUUUGUAGAUAAAUAAUUUUGAAAGUUUCUAAUACAAUUAUAUCAUAUGCAAAGCUUAU